AGAGUUUGAUCCUGGCUCAGAAUCAACGCCGGCGGCGUGCCUAACACAUGCAAGUCGAACGAGAAAGUGGAGCAAUCCAUGAGUAAAGUGGCGCACGGGUGAGUAACACGUGACUAACCUACCCUUGAGUGGGGAAUAACUUCGGGAAACCGAGGCUAAUACCGCAUAACACCUACGGGUCAAAGGAGCAAUUCGCUCGAGGAGGGGGUCGCGGCCGAUUAGUUAGUUGGCGGGGUAAUGGCCCACCAAGACGAUGAUCGGUAUCCGGCCUGAGAGGGCGCACGGACACACUGGAACUGAAACACGGUCCAGACUCCUACGGGAGGCAGCAGUGGGGAAUUUUACGCAAUGGGGGAAACCCUGACGCAGCAACGCCGCGUGGAGGAUGAAGUCCUUCGGGACGUAAACUCCUUUCGAUCGGGACGAUUAUGACGGUACCGGAAGAAGAAGCCCCGGCUAACUUCGUGCCAGCAGCCGCGGUAAUACGAGGGGGGCGAGCGUUGUUCGGAAUUAUUGGGCGUAAAGGGUGCGUAGGCGGUUUGGUAAGUCUGAUGUGAAACCUAUGGGCUCAACUCAUAGUCUGCAUCGGAAACUGCCGGGCUUGAGUAUGGGAGAGGUGAGUGGAAUUCCUGGUGUAGCGGUGAAAUGCGUAGAUAUCAGGAGGAACACCUGUGGCGAAAGCGGCUCACUGGACCAUAACUGACGCUGAUGCACGAAAGCUAGGGGAGCAAACAGGAUUAGAUACCCUAGUAGUCC
rnacentral:rRNA from 1 species